ACGCUCGACACCUACUGGAGGCAGCAGUGGGGAAUAUUGCACAAUGGGGGAAACCCUGAUGCAGCAACGCCGCGUGAAGGAAGACGGUUUUCGGAUUGUAAACUUCUGUUCUUAGUGAAGAUAGUGACGGUAGCUAAGGAGCAAGCCACGGCUAACUACGUGUCAGCAGCCGCGGUAAUCUGAGCGGGCUGGCAAGGC
rnacentral:rRNA from 1 species